rnacentral:rRNA from 1 species
UACGUAGGACGCAAGCGUUAUCCGGAUUCAUUGGGUUUAAAGGGCGCGUAGGCGGGUAGAUAAGUCAGUGGUGAAAGUCUGUCGCUUAACGAUAGGAUUGCCAUUGAUACUGCUUAUCUUGAGUUCAGUUGAGGCAGGCGGAAUGUGCAGUGUAGCGGUGAAAUGCUUAGAUAUUGCACAGAACACCGAUUGCGAAGGCAGCUUGCUAAACUGAUACUGACGCUGAGUCACGAAAGCGUGGGGAUCAAACAGG